GGGGGGGUGUUAUUGAAAUUCCAGUGUGUGUGUGUGUGUGUGUGUUGGUCUGUGUGUGUGAAGAGCGAAAAAGAAAGUGUGUGUAAGAGUGAGUGAGGGGGAAACGGAGCCCUCCUUCUGCCCGCUUCGCUUCACAUUUCCGGGCAGAGCUGAACUUCGGACCCGCCCCGGGUCACGGUCCGGACCUGUGGAGGCCCUCCGCCGGGGAGCGCACAACUUUCCGCCCACAAUCCAACCGCAUCUCCGGCGACACCGCACAAGUCCAGUCAAAGCAGCAGCGAGGACCUCAGGAGGUUCAGACGGACAGAACAAAGAUCCAAACCGGUCCCGAACUGCAUUUCACAGAACCCAAGAACUGCGUCCAGAAGCGGCCCCCGCCGGCAUCCUUGUCCGCUCUGCGGUGCGCCACGGCCGGCGUGCGGCUCCCCUGUGCUCAGGAGAAACAGAGCGGUGCAGCAACGGAGUCUUUCCCGGGACAAGCGCUGCCGGAGCGGGGAGAGGCGGCGGGACGACCCGGGAGACGAGAGACUGUCCCGAACUCCUCCAGCUCCGAACACCGGCUCCUCCGCUGCUCCUCCGCCGGACUGCGUCGCUCCGUGUGCGGCCACAGACUGAUCACACGCGCCGCUGAUCGAUCACAAAUAACAGCAUCGAUCCUCCGCGCGCACUUUCACAAGUAUACUGCUGCUGGGUGCGCGCGCUUGCUUGCACGAGAGCGCCACUAGUGCCCUCCCCCCUCCUUUAGGAGCAAAGAGGAACAGAAGGUGGAAUACCGGAGGAGAACCGGGUCGAACUCAGAACCGCAGAAGAAGUUACUGAAGUCACCAAACUUCUUCAUCAUCAUCAUAAUAAUGAUGAUGAUGAUGAGCUCAGCACCAUCAGGUUCCUCAACUGUCCAACUGUCAACCCAUAUUUUUAUCAGAACCUCAAAUGGUCCUGCCCAAUUGGACUGAACCCUGUAGCUGCAGAAACCAUGUGGGCCAUCAGAAUCGGAACCUUCAAGAGUCCAGAACCAGACUCAACCUACGGGUUCUGAGGAACCAGCACCAGACAACACUCUGUGCUCUGAUUGGUCCAAACAAAUACACCUCAGCAGCAGCUCACCUUUGCUCUGAUUGGACCUUCAGGUGAUCAGAACCAAUCAGAACUCAGUGAGCUGAAGGGUGGUGAAUCCUCAGAACUUGACCUAAUUUCUAACCAGAACCUGAACCAUCAGAACCAAAAGCAGCAGAUCCCGUCUUGGUUCGGGUUCAUAGUGCUGAGUAGAACCGGUUCCUGCUGCAGGUUCCUCUGGGUUCGGCCUGAGCCCCCUGGUGGAGGAUGGAGGUACUACUAAUCGAGUAGGUACUACUAAUCCUCUGAACCACAUGGUUCAGAGGAGACUAAGUCAGGUAGUUAUCGAUAUUUCCUUGAAUAAAACCAGAAAUAAAACUGGAACAGUGUUACUAAUUGAAAAAUAAUAACUUAUCUUACUGUAUUUACAUUUUAGGUGUAUGUUAAGUAAUAUCAGACAAUAUUUAUUGUAAACUUUUUACUGUCAGCUCGUCGUAGUAAAUCAACUACUCUGUAUAGAGUCUUGUAGUUCAGCAGCAGGCAUAACUGUAAUAAUGAUAAUCAUAAUGAUAAUAACAAUAAUAAUGAUAAUAGUCUUCCAUCUUUUCAAACUGUUGCUAGCUUCAAUGCUACAUCAGUAUGUGAGGAACAGCUGGAGUCGGAAACAUUUCUUAUAUUUUAGCUUUUCAUAAACUGUUCUUGAGUUUAUUGUUAGAAAACCUAACUAAUAAAAUAUGUUAAUGGCUAACAAACCAAACAUGAAAGACUUUGUUGGACGUAUCAAACUGCAACGGCCUAUCAACUUGAGCAGGCGCUUCUGUUAAAGAGAACAACCCGAGUGUUUAACGGUAUGGGGGCGGAGCCAGCUCAGGUGUCAAAGAUCAUCACUAAAACUAGACAGAUUUGCUUAUUUUUAAGGACAUAAAACAUGAGUGGGGUAACUGGGCUCUCCUGCCAGGGGGGGCAGAGAGGGCAGUUCCCUCCACCAGUAGCCCCCUGUAGAUCCGGCCCUGGAGCAACCAGGGAACGUUCAGCAGGAAAACCUGAGCUGGAGGCAGCAGCCGUGAUGAACAGCCUGGGGCGCCAUCUGCAGGCGGAGGGGAGGAACUGCAGCCUGAGAACAUAACCAGAACCAGAACCAAAACAGAACCAUUCCAGAUCCAGAACCUUCAUCAGAACUUAACGAGGGUCCGAACCGGGCCCGCGUGACUCCCAACAAAAUCAACUGGAGGAAGAGGAGCUGAAACCCAAAACAUCAACGUGGUCGUUGCCAUAGAGACGGUGAAGGUUGGGAAGGCGGGGAGGAUGGCCUGGACCAGAACCAGAACUGAAACAUCUCCUGACUCUGAUCUGGCAGCAGAAGAUCAGUCUCUAGGUUUCAACCGUUUGUCUGUCAUGCAGAGGAGGAAGAGGAGGAGGAAGAGGAAGAGGAGGACAGUCGGUGUUUGAUUCCCAGCCGUUUCACCAUCUGUCUCCAGAAAGCCGGCAAGAUGCCAAAACCCUGAGAGCCAGAAGGAGCCGGGAGGAAAGCAGCUUCCUGAAUUAUUGAUCCGAUCUCAGGAAAACAACAGAACCGGAUCAGAACCAGAAACAGAACCCAAUCAGAUCCACAAAAAAAUCAGAACUUCAUCAGAACCAUGACAGAGCAUCUGCAGCAAAUCCAACACAUUUCUACUAAUGGCGGGAUUUUAACACAUUCAUUUGAUAAUUAAUUUCAGAUUUAAAGCAUUAAAUAUUUUAACACAAUUCAUUGUUUCUUUUGUGUAAAGAGUUCUGAUAGGAACCAUUGUAUUCGUAUGAGAAUACAAAGGUUUUUGGUAGGUCGG